AACAACAACAGUCCUUUUCAGGACAAUAAUAACCUGGACGAUCUACAUCGACAAACAUAUAAUAACAUGGCCUGUCGGUGUGUGAGGAAUAACAUGCCCAUGUCCUCUGCUUUGAUAUUGAAUAGCUCAUGCAUGUGCAAAUAAAAAUAAAUUUAACACAUACAAGUUUGAAAC